GGCCUGAGAGCUCUUCGUUUCCUCUGCCUCUGAUCCUCGGGCUGGUUGGUGGCAUCACACUGAUUCUCCUCCUCUCACUGCUGCUGUUGUGUUGGUCCAGAACGUCAAAGAGCUCAGAGCAAACUGUCGACCAGGAUGAAAACCAAGAGCCAGUGUACUCGUCUCUUCUCCACGGUGACAACUGCAUCUAUGAGUCAAUCAGAGGCUCUGAAGACACUGAGCAAGGUACUGUAUAAAAUGAGCCUCCUGCAGAGAAGUCCAAAAUGAGAAACCUUCUGAUUUCAGGUGGACGGGCAGAUGAGUACAGAAAAGUCAAACACGAUGUCCUGACAUCAAUGCACACACGUGAUUUUCCAACAUGUCAUUUUAAAACUCUAGAUUGAAUCUGCUGCUAAAUCAGCCUCCACUCUCCUGGGAAGCUUUUCCACUGAGGUGUGAUGCUUUCAGUCGUCCCAAAGAAAGACAUUUGGACUUUUCAGUUUAGUCUGAACCAAAAUAACAGGUGUGAAGGUGCCUCAGACCCCGGUCCAGACCUUUAUAUACAGUCUGUGGUCCAGACCAAUGCACCAGAAUGUAGUCAGACCCAACGAGGUGGUCUCCAGAUCAAACUGAACCAUGGAUCGGUUUGUGCUGUGAAAACACUUUUCUGGAGGACUGCUGCGUCCAUAAAUGUCUGGACACAAGGACGCUGCAGUGGAACACAUGUGGAGCACCUGAAGCUGCUGAUGCUGGUUGUGAUAGUGACAUUAGAGUGGCAACGACAUGAACUCAAUGAAUAAAACAGUGCUUGGGAACCUUUUCAAGUGGUUUUCUGUUUGAUCUUCACAGGAACCCGAGGUGAUCCAGAGGAGACGCCUGACUACGUUAAUGCCGAUCAAUGUACAGGCCCACUAUGAAUGGUGCAUCCUCGAGAAAACGAGAACAUGAAAAUCAACUUUCAUCCUUCAAAUAUUCCACUCAACAGUCUGGUAACAGCUCAUUGGGAAGAAUGACGUCAUCUGGAUUGAAUUUCAUAUCAAAGAAAAAAGAAAGGCUGUGAUCUUUGCUUUUGUGUCUAGUUCAAUAUAUCAAGUGGCUGAUAUGAACACUUUUAUUUUACACCAUAAACAAUGUGCAGUUAUGAUUGUAUUUUACACUGAACAUGUUUUUGUCUCAAUUCUAUAUAUUCUGUAAAUAUUUGUUA